GUGGGGAAUAUUGGGCAAUGGGCGAAAGCCUGACCCAGCAACGCCGCGUGAAGGAAGAAGGUCUUCGGAUCGUAAACUUCUAUCCUUGGUGAAGAUAAUGACGGUAGCCGAGAAGGAAGCCCCGACUAACUACGUGCCAGCAGCCGCGGUAAUACGUAGGGGGCAAGCGUUGUCCGGAAUGAUUGGGCGUAAAGGGCGCGUAGGCGGCCUGGUAAGUCUGGAGUGAAAGUCCUGCUUUUAAGGUGGGAAUUGCUUUGGAUACUGUCGGGCUUGAGUGCAGGAGAGGUAAGUGGAAUUCCCGGUGUAGCGGUGAAAUGCGUAGAGAUCGGGAGGAACACCAGUGGCGAAGGCGACUUACUGGACUGUAACUGACGCUGAGGCGCGAAAGUGUGGGGAGCAAACAGGAUUAGAAACCCGUGUAGUCC
rnacentral:rRNA from 1 species